AGAGUUUGAUCCUGGCUCAGGAUAAACGCUAGCGGCAGGCCUAACACAUGCAAGUCGAGGGGCAUCGGAUAGAGUACUUCGGUACUCUUGCCGGCGACCGGCGGACGGGUGCGUAACGCGUAUGCAACCUACCUUCAACAGGGGGAUAAUCCGAAGAAAUUUGGUCUAAUACCCCAUAAUAUUCCGACAGGCAUCUGUCGGAGUUGAAAGCUUCGGUGGUUGGAGAUGGGCAUGCGUUGUAUUAGCUAGAUGGUGAGGUAACGGCUCACCAUGGCGAUGAUACAUAGGGGGACUGAGAGGUUUUCCCCCCACACUGGUACUGAGACACGGACCAGACUCCUACGGGAGGCAGCAGUGAGGAAUAUUGGUCAAUGGACGGAAGUCUGAACCAGCCAUGCCGCGUGCAGGAUGAAUGUGCUAUGCAUUGUAAACUGCUUUUGUACGAGGGUAAACACAGAUACGCGUAUCUGCUUGAAAGUAUCGUACGAAUAAGGAUCGGCUAACUCCGUGCCAGCAGCCGCGGUAAUACGGAGGAUCCGAGCGUUAUCCGGAUUUAUUGGGUUUAAAGGGUGCGUAGGCUGUUUUUUAAGUUAGAGGUGAAAGCUCGACGCUCAACGUCGAAAUUGCCUCUGAUACUGAGAGACUAGAGUGUAGUUGCGGAAGGCGGAAUGUGUGGUGUAGCGGUGAAAUGCUUAGAUAUCACACAGAACACCGAUUGCGAAGGCAGCUUUCCAAGCUAUUACUGACGCUGAGGCACGAAAGCGUGGGGAGCGAACAGGAUUAGAUACCCUGGUAGUCCACGCAGUAAACGAUGAUAACUCGUUGCCGGCGAUACACAGUCGGUGACUUAGCGAAAGCGUUAAGUUAUCCACCUGGGGAGUACGUUCGCAAGAAUGAAAC
rnacentral:rRNA from 1 species